UUUUAAUGACUCAAUAAUAAUAAUAAUAAUGAAAUGAUUUUGUUGAACAAUAGAUUUUGCAAAAUUAAAAUUGAGAAUCCAAAAUUAAACCGUUGAAAUGAAACUGAGACGUUGAUACCACACCAACUCAUAAACGCGAAACUUCUGAUCUUCCGAUGUGACUUUCAGUGCUAAUGGAUUUAGUUCAAUCCAUUUUGGAUAACAUUCUCC
rnacentral:lncRNA from 1 species